rnacentral:rRNA from 1 species
GGGGAAUAUUGGACAAUGGGCGAAAGCCUGAUCCAGCCAUGCCGCGUGGGUGAAGAAGGCCCUAGGGUUGUAAACCCCUUUCAGCGGGGAAGAUAAUGACGGUACCCGCAGAAGAAGCCCCGGCUAACUCCGUGCCAGCAGCCGCGGUAAUACGGAGGGGGCUAGCGUUGUUCGGAAUUACUGGGCGUAAAGCGCGCGUAGGCGGAUCUGCAAGUCGGGGGUGAAAUCCCGAGGCUCAACCUCGGAACUGCCUUCGAUACUGCGGGUCUCGAGUCCGGGAGAGGUGAGUGGAAUUCCUAGUGUAGAGGUGAAAUUCGUAGAUAUUAGGAAGAACACCAGUGGCGAAGGCGGCUCACUGGCCCGGUACUGACGCUGAGGAGCGAAAGCGUGGGGAGCGAAC